GAUCAUGGCUCAGGACGAACGCUGGCGGCGCGCCUAACACAUGCAAGUCGAACGAGCGAGAGAGAGCUUGCUUUCUCGAGCGAGUGGCGAACGGGUGAGUAACGCGUGAGGAACCUGCCUCAAAGAGGGGGACAACAGUUGGAAACGACUGCUAAUACCGCAUAAGCCCACGACCCGGCAUCGGGUUGAGGGAAAAGGAGCAAUCCGCUUUGAGAUGGCCUCGCGUCCGAUUAGCUGG
rnacentral:rRNA from 1 species